UGGGGAAUUUUGGACAAUGGGCGAAAGCCUGAUCCAGCAAUGCCGCGUGUGUGAAGAAGGCCUUCGGGUUGUAAAGCACUUUUGUCCGGAAAGAAAUCCUUGGCUCUAAUACAGUCGGGGAAUGACGGUACCGGAAGAAUAAGCACCGGCUAACUACGUGCCAGCAGCCGCGGUAAUACGUAGGGUGCAAGCGUUAAUCGGAAUUACUGGGCGUAAAGCGUGCGCAGGCGGUUUGCUAAGACCGAUGUGAAAUCCCCGGGCUCAACCUGGGAACUGCAUUGGUGACUGGCAGGCUAGAGUAUGGCAGAGGGGGGUAGAAUUCCACGUGUAGCAGUGAAAUGCGUAGAGAUGUGGAGGAAUACCGAUGGCGAAGGCAGCCCCCUGGGCCAAUACUGACGCUCAUGCACGAAAGCGUGGGGAGCAAACAGGAUUAGAUACCCUGGUAGUCCACGCCCUAAACGAUGUCAACUAGUUGUGGGGAUUCAUUUCCUUAGUAACGUAGCUAACGCGUGAAGUUGACCGCCUGGGGAGUACGGUCGCAAGACUAAAACUCAAAGGAAUUGACGGGGUCAUAGCUG
rnacentral:rRNA from 1 species